GCGGGCUGGACCUCUCGGGGUUACAGCCUUGCUGAAUUAUUCACCCUUGUCUUUUGCGUACUUCUUGUUUCCUUGGUGGGUUCGCCCACCACUAGGACAAACAUAAACCUUUUGUAAUUGCAAUCAGCGUCAGUAACAAAUUAAUAAUUA
rnacentral:misc_RNA from 1 species